rfam:Schistosoma mansoni strain Puerto Rico chromosome 2, complete genome
AUCCAGCUGACGUGUCAAAAAUAGGACGAAACGCGCGUCCUGGAU